CACGCCAUAAAUGCUCUUUGCGAGAAAUCCAACGUGCUCGCGCGAACGGUAACGAGCAGCAAGCACAACUACGACGACGACGACGACGACAACGACGACGACGAUGACGACGAUGGCGAUGGCGAUGGCGUAUGGUGGCAACGGCACAGUAGUGCCGGGAACGCCGGCAACGGUUCAAAAACCUCGAUGGAAAACUAAAACCAAUCGAGCAACCUAGGCGCAUUUAACGAGUUUUACUACUCCACGGGAUUUCUUAUCUCAACCGCGGCGUUGCGUAACCACUCAUUGUGUUGGAUGCGAGCGCGUUAACUCGACUGAAAUAAUGCGGCGAACCACCGUUCUCUGUUCACGUGCGAGUAGAAACGCGCAACGCGAAGAAUGCGCGCUCAUUGUGAGGAGGAGAUGGGGGUGGAGGACGCGGACGAAGACGAGGACGAGGAGGAGGAAGAGGAAGAGAAGGAGGACCUAGGGCUUCCACAGCGUAAUAUGUCGCAUAACGCGCCGUAAUACUACACCAGACGACGACGAAGAAGAGUGCCAGGUUGUAACCCAAUAGGAGCCGUGUUGGGCACACUUGUGGCAUGCGCCAGCUUCACUCUUUCCCUCUCGCUUCUACUACUAUUACUCCCUCUUUCUCUCUCUUUCUUUCUCUCUCUCUCUCUCUCUCUCUCUCUCUCUCUCUCUGUUUCGAUCCACAAGCGUUCUCGAGCACGGCUCGACCGCGCGUCACGCUCGACGAAUAAAUAUACGAUCUAAUUUCUCUGAUUGUAUCAACGGGUAUACACGUCGACAACGAAAAUUCUAAAAAUAAUUCCACGGAAAGAGAGGGAGAGAGAAAGGGGGAAAGAUAAAGUUUCUCCUUCGUUGGUUUUUUAUUUUUUAUUUUUUUAUUUUUUUUAUUUUAUUUUUUAUGGAAGAACGUGCGUUCUCUCUUGAGAAUCCCUUUCGGUAUUCAUCGGUAAAAUCUGAGAACAUUUGACGAGUCACGUCUGAUCGUAUAAGUCUUGCAACUUUCGUGAUAUCUCGUUGCGAUAAGAGAGCUGUAACGAGUCCGGUAACUCGAUCGAAAGCAUUCAACGUUUGCAUCAAAAUCGUACAUAUACAUGUAUACACACACACACGCGCACACACACACACACACACACAUAUACAUAUAUACAUACAAUUAAUAUAAUUAAUAUAACGAAUAAAAAUUUCUAAAAAUUUCGAAUAUGUCUCAACGUCUGAAUUAAAGACUUUGCUUUAAACGUUGAUAAAUACACAUCGAUCGAUAUUUUACCUCUUUUUCCCUUUCUUUUUCUCUUUCGUUUCCUUUCGUUUCAAGCAACGAUCGAACGAAAAUCUUAUACGAAGGAUUCUCCGAAGCGAGAGUGGACGCGUGGCAAGCUUCUCUCUUAGCACGUGACGACUGCUAAAGUAAGUGGCUGUCUUAAGUCAAAAGCCGAGCACAGGUGUGCGAGCGUAAUCGCGAUGUCACGGCCGAGUCACGGCCGAAUCACGAACCCCGCCCCCCACCCUUCGCAUCCUUCCACCUCCUCCUCCUCCUCCUCCUCCUUUCUCCGUUCUACGACCUCUUCCUCUUCUCCCUUCUUUCGAUCAUCUUUCUUUCCCUUUUUUCCUCCCCCUCUCUUCCCCCUCUCUCUCUCCUCUCUUCCUCCUUCUUCUCCCCACUCCUUCUCACAGUUACUCUUUUCCUCCCACCCCCCUUCAUCACAGAACGAACCCGUUUACGCGAAGAGCCUUGGACCUUUCUUACAGCCACCGUAAUAUCUUGUUUUAUCUGCCCACUUUCUGAAAGUUGUUCAUUACUUUCUUGUUGACCCGGAGGCUGCCUCCAUCCAGCUAUAACUUCUUUCUACCUGUUUCUAUCUUCGUCGUUGAACUUGACCGAUCAUGAAGGAAGCACCGAUCACGUUACUUUAACCCUUUAAGGUUCGUCGUAAAAAAAGAAAAAAAAAAUAAAGAAAAGGGAAGAGAAAAGGGAAGGAAGAGGAAUGAAAGAAAGUCAAAAGAAAAUGAGAAAAAAGAAAAACAGAAUCAUGUUGGUGCUAUUUCUCAUGAGUGAAAUUACGUCGUACUAGGUAUAUUAUCUUUUUUAUUCAAAAAGGAAAAAAAAGAGAGAGGAAGAUUAUACGACGAAAGAAAAGAAGAAGAAGAAGAAGAAGAACAAAUUCUGUCGUAUCGAAUGAAAACGAGGAAAAAAAAAACAAAAAUAAAAAAAAGAUUCAAUCUUAAACAACGACUUGAUUUGCAAAUAUAACGCGAGAGCGACGUGCAAGUAUAAGAAAAACAAUAAUUUCACUUUCGAUAUUUCUCGCGUCAAUUUGUACUUGUUGUAUAAUUCACAGCUGAUAAAUAAGAUCCUUUUAAGAUGUCCAAUAGGAGAAUAAUCUUCGACGAUAAUUCUUUAACGUCUGAAGAAAAUGAAAAGAAAAAGAUUAAAAUAGAACGUAGAAAAUUCCCGAUGAGAAAUGAUAUAAUUUUCUUCAAGAAAUAAGACGUUGAAGACGCGCGCACGUUAGAUGAAUAAAGUGUGGUCCGAUGAUGCGGCAGAAGCAGUGGCAGUCGUUCCGGAGACGGUAGUGGCUACCGACGACUCCUCUCCUUCAGGGGUGGAUGACUCCGGGGUCGGCUCGCUCGGUGAAGAAGAGGGAGGGAAAGUAGAGCGAGGAUCCAAGGUGAAGUUAGAAGAUAGCAACCACCAGGCCUGGCGGAGGAAGGCAACGCGUGCACGUUCUGGGCGGAGUAGGAGAACGAUCCGUAGGGCCAGGAGUCAUCGAGUGACACACGCACGACCGCCACGCUUCGUGGUCACGGUCAAAGCGCACGCGGAACACCACGAAGAGCUAGAUCCUACUUUCGCGAAAUACGAAAAAUCUACAUUUUAUUCCCUCUGGUAAUGAAACGGUAGAGAAGAAGAAGAAGAGGGCUGUGAACGGGACCUCGGAUGAAGAAGGAAUGAAGGAUUUUCAUUGAUCGGGAACAUUGCUUAUACGAGAAGGUUUUUCAAGAUGUGUGUGGUAAACAAAAAGAUGUAAAUAAAUAUAUCCCGAUAGAAGCUUACGCUAUCUCAAAUAGUACGAAAGUAAAUAGGAAUGAAAAAGAGAGAGAGGGGGAAAAGUCUCUCAUUAGCAAGGUUAUUCGAGAGGACACUGACGUUCGCGUUUCAUAAAACGAACAACGCUCACGCACCAGGACGCACAUGAGUAUAACAGGGAGGACUGUGAUUUUUCUUCGCGUGGCCCCACGCGGGCCACGACGUAUGUACGCCCACUGACAACAACCAUGAAGCAGAGAAAGAGAGAGAAGAAGAAGAAGAAGGAGAAGAAGAAAAAGAAGGAGAAAAAGAAUAAUAAGAAGAAGACGACAACGAAGACGACGACGCAUCGUACGCGUAAUAUAAAAGGGCUCAAAUUAUCCAGGAAGCGAGGAGAACCCGGACGAGGAGCUAUGCUCGAGCGUAAAGAAGGUCUUUUCUCGAGUGUAGGCCAUUGCAUCAAAGAGGGGACCUUCUUCGUGUGAGCGAAAGAGAGAGAGGGAGAGAGAGAGAGAGAGGGUGUUCGAGCUACGUACCUAUAUUGCCGUAAUUUUCACAGCGAGAGAGGAGAAAGAGGAAGGGCUUCCCUCGAACGGUGCUACGAUCUCUGAUGCAACGUAUAAUCAAACGAACAGCGAUGUGUUCAGGUCAGUGGCUGAUAGCGUCGAAUCUUUUUUAUUAUAUAUAUAUAUAUAUGUGUGUGUGUAUUUUUUUCUUUUCAUUUUUCUUUUCUUUUUUUUUUCUAUUCUUCUUUUUGUCUUUUUUACAUCCAACAUUAUACGGAGAGCAUUGCGUUCCGUCCUUUUUUAUUCGAUUUGUAAUUUUAUGUUGCUGAUAUCAAUUAUAUUAUAUGUUAAUGAUAUCAAUUAAC